rnacentral:lncRNA from 1 species
GCCUUUUGUUGGGUGAGGAGCGCCAGGCAAACGCGUCCACCUUGGCUUAGGAAGGAGGCGAUUGGACCGUCCGCCCGCAGCCGCAGCCCCGGUGGUCCAGGCAUGGAUGGGAAGAAAUGCAGCGUGUGGAUGUUUCUACCUCUCGUAUUUACUUUGUUUACUUCUGCUGGCUUGUGGAUAGUGUACUUCAUCGCCGUGGAAGAUGACAAAAUUUUGCCAUUAAAUUCAGCUGCAAGGAAAUCAGGUGUGAAGCACGCCCCGUACAUCAGGUAACUGAUCCCGCCUGAGCUGCCGAGUUUAAGGACAGUGCAUGUCAGACCCAUCCGGUUAUGGACUUGGACAGCCAGGCCCUAAGGCUUUGCCUUCUUCCAGUUUUGCAGGUGAUGACCCUCCUGCAAGCUGCGUGUUCAGCCAAGUCAUGAACAUGGCCGCCUUCCUGGCCCUCGUGGUAGCCGUUCUGCGCUUCAUCCAGCUGAAACCAAAGGUUUUAAACCCAUGGCUGAAUAUCAGCGGUUUGGUGGCACUGUGUCUAGCCUCCUUU